rnacentral:rRNA from 1 species
AGCGAACGCUGGCGGCAGGCCUAACACAUGCAAGUCGAACGAACCCUUCGGGGUUAGUGGCGGACGGGUGAGUAACACGUGGGAACGUGCCUUUAGGUUCGGAAUAACUCAGGGAAACUUGUGCUAAUACCGAAUGUGCCCUUCGGGGGAAAGAUUUAUCGCCUUUAGAGCGGCCCGCGUCUGAUUAGCUAGUUGGUGGGGUAACGGCCUACCAAGCCUGCGAUCUGUAGCUGGUCUGAGAGGACGAUCAGCCACAUUGGGACUGAGACACGGCCCAAACUCCUACGGGAGGCAGCAGUGGGGAAUCUUGCGCAAUGGGCGAAAGCCUGACGCAGCCAUGCCGCGUGAAUGAUGAAGGUCUUAGGAUUGUAAAGUUCUUUCGCCCGUGACGAUGAUGACGGUAACGGGAGAAGAAGCCCCGGCUAACUUCGUGCCAGCAGCCGCAGUAACAC